rnacentral:rRNA from 1 species
UUGAACGCUGGCGGCAGGCCUAACACAUGCAAGUCGAGCGGAUGAAGGGAGCUUGCUCCUGGAUUCAGCGGCGGACGGGUGAGUAAUGCCUAGGAAUCUGCCUGGUAGUGGGGGAUAACGUCCGGAAACGGGCGCUAAUACCGCAUACGUCCUGAGGGAGAAAGUGGGGGAUCUUCGGACCUCACGCUAUCAGAUGAGCCUAGGUCGGAUUAGCUAGUUGGUGGGGUAAAGGCCUACCAAGGCGACGAUCCGUAACUGGUCUGAGAGGAUGAUCAGUCACACUGGAACUGAGACACGGUCCAGACUCCUACGGGAGGCAGCAGUGGGGAAUAUUGGACAAUGGGCGAAAGCCUGAUCCAGCCAUGCCGCGUGUGUGAAGAGGGUCUUCGGAUUGUAAAGCACUUUAAGUUGGGAGGAAGGGCAGUAAGUUAAUACCUUGCUGUUUUGACGUUACCAACAGAAUAAGCACCGGCUAACUUCGUG